rnacentral:rRNA from 1 species
CUACGCACUCCUACGGGAGGCAGCAGUGGGGAAUAUUGCACAAUGGGCGCAAGCCUGAUGCAGCCAUGCCGCGUGUAUGAAGAAGGCCUUCGGGUUGUAAAGUACUUUCAGCAGUGAGGAAGGUGGGUAUGUUAAUAGCAUACUCAUUUGACGUUAGCUGCAGAAGAAGCACCGGCUAACUCCGUGCCAGCAGCCGCGGUAAUACGGAGGGUGCGAGCGUUAAUCGGAAUUACUGGGCGUAAAGCGCAUGCAGGUGGUUUGUUAAGUCAGAUGUGAAAGCCCGGGGCUCAACCUCGGAAUUGCAUUUGAAACUGGCAAACUAGAGUACUGUAGAGGGGGUAGAAUUUCAGGUGUAGCGGUGAAAUGCGUAGAGAUCUGAAGGAAUACCGGUGGCGAAGGCGGCCCCCUGGACAGAUACUGACACUCAGAUGCGAAAGCGUGGGGAGCAAACAGGAUUAGAUACCCUUGUAG